rnacentral:rRNA from 1 species
CAACUCUUGGCAAUGGAUCUCUUGGUUCUCGCAUCGAUGAAGAGCGUAGCAAAGUGCGAUAAUUAUUGCGACUUGCAUUCAUAGUGAAUCAUCGAGUUCUUGAACGCAUCUUGCGCCUAGUAGUCAAUCUACUAGGCACAGUUGUUUCAGUAUCUGCAUCCACCAAUC